AUGCCUCCAGAGAAGAUAGAGAUCGAGGCAAAAAACAUCGAUGCAGCAGCAGGAGAGAUAAUUGGUGUUUUGGAGGAUACAAGCAAAGGAAAUGUGAUCUACUUCAAGGGCUGGGAAGGAUUGGGAGCAUCCGCGGUUCUCAAUCUGGUAGCCCAACGCCCGAAAUCAUCAACAAGACAAAACAAGUUUGAUAAGGUUAUCCAUGUGGAUUGCUCAGUAUGGAAAAACACAAGGUCUCUGCAGAAGGCAGUAGCGGAGGAGCUGGAGCUUCCGCAGUCUGUGAUGGCCAUCUUCGAUCAAUAUGACAAGGACGAUGACUUCAAUGGGAAAGAUGAAGGCUCCAGAGAGGUGAUAGCAGAUAUCAGGAUGGAAAUAUUCAGGAAACUCUAUAACAGUAGAUUUCUGGUGGUUUUCCACAACGGAAGCAGAAGAUACAUUGAUUUGUAUGAGUGUUGUGUCCCAGUAAUAUCACUUUUAGGUAACAAGGUCUUGUGGACCUGGCACGGGAGGUUUCGGAUGGGUCUCAGAUUAGAAGAUGGGGAAAAGGUAAAGAUGAAGAGUCAGACAGAUGUUCGCUUAUCUGCUUCUCCUGAAUGUAAUUUUGAGGAAGCACAAGAUAUACUGCAUGAAGAGGCUUUGGAUGUUGCCAAGUGCACUGGGAUUGUUCAGCCCGACGAUAUGAGCCACAAGAUAGUCAUGGAGUGCCUCAUAUACAGGACACUGAUUGCUACAGAUUUGAAAGCUCAUGCACCAAACUAUUGGAUCUGUGAUGGUAUUAUACAGGGCGAAGACAAUGCAUCAGCAUGGGAGAUUGGCAAUUCUCUGCACAGAAACAUGUGCUUGGAUGUUGAGUUAACAUAUAAUGAGGAAACAGCUCCCGUGCAACAGGUGUCGGGUGAUUUACUUGUUAACCGCUGGAAUUUCACCACCCACAAACAACUGCUAGAGGAUAAGGCUGGAGCGUUGCCUCCUCAGGUGACAUCCUUCUUCCUCUUUGCAGAUGAAUCACCAACAGAUAGAGCACCAAUAUUGCUGGUUAGCAUGUUUCAACAUUCACAAAGCAGCAAGCUACGUGUGUUACACCUGUCUCAUUGCACCUUCAGUUUUGCAUGCCCUCCCUUCGUCCAUUGUGUCCAACUAAGAUUGCUCCAUCUGGACCAUUGCACAAAUAUCACAGAGGAUGAUGAGCAUCCAAGCCACAAUGAAAACAUGUCAUGUUUCCAGAAGCUGUGGGUGCUGGAUCUGAGGUAUACACACUGGCACUGGCUGCUAUCAGAAAAAAUAAAGAGAUUGAUGGUUGAACUCAGGGAGUUAAAUGAGGAGGGAGUCAAGCAUGGGAGCAUAAGUGACUUGUAUGGUGGUAGACCAAGCCUUGUAAUACUUCGAGUAACAGCAGCAGAUCCGGUCCCUACGGAGAACGAGGACACAAAUAAUCAAGCACAAUUCCCCAAUAUGUCUAGUACAAACAGCCUUACGACAUCUAGCUUCAUCAACGACGUCCUAUCUCCGUCGCUCAAGUCAUUUAGCUUCAUGAACAAAUCUACAAGUGAUGCCAAGAUAUCUAGCAUCUCCUUCCAGGGUUGUUCUCAGUUGAAGAAUAUACUUCUGAAAGGGAAUUUGGGGACCCUGGAGGAGCUGGACCUCUCAGGCACAGCAUUGAAAACCCUUGACCUCAGAGAAGUGGAAGCUCGAAACCUCAAGCGUCUCAUGUUGCUAGGCUGUGAGAAGCUCCGUGCGAUAUUAUGGCCACCAGAAGAUAACAGGAGAUGGGUUUUGGAGAAGUUGCAGAUCAGCACCGUCCAAUCUGCAUCACCUAGCCAGAAUAAUUGGGAAGAGAAGAUCAAGGAGGCUAGUCCUACUGCAGGAUCAUCAUCUAUCCUUGCAUUGGGAGCUUCACCAUUAGGCACCAGGCGAAUUGCAUCUUUUGACUUCAAUUGGUACAUAUCUGUUGCGGAUGCAAGGCUCAUGUGGUCGCUUCUGCCCUUUCAGAAAGAAAUUGGGGAAAACUUUGUAUACAUGGAGAUUGAUUCAUCUCCUGCCAGUGGAGCUGCUGUUGGUCGCCCUGAAGUUGCUCAAGGCAUCGGGAGCCAGCAGCAGUUUGCUCAAUACUUAUAUGCAAGUGAUGUCUUUGAAGAAGAAUCGCAAGCUGUCAGUGCUAUCGAAGGUGUGAUCAGCUGGAUGUGGCCUUGUCCACGUACUCCUACUCCACUUCCUCAAGACUGGUACUUCCACAUGCAAGACGAAGAGAAGAUGGAAAGAGGAUCUUUACAGCAACAACACAACGCUCAAAGUAUUAAUACUGGUGUUGCUUUAGCCCCUGUUUUGAUGUGUGAUAAUGCACGGAUGUUGUAUGUGCAUGAUAACUAUUCCGCCACUUGCAUUCCAUGCUCACAAGGUGCAGACUGGUGGUAUCUUGGAUGGUGCCGAGUUGAGAGGUGCCCAAAUCUAUGCUUUGUCUUUGCCACUCCCCAACUAAGUAGUGGCCAGAAGGUCUUUUGGCGCUUGUGUACAUUCUGGGCAUCCCAGCUCCUGAAGGCGUGCUACAUCUGGAACUGGAGUGCAGUAGCUCAACCUGGUAGUCGUUCGUUUGAACGCCUAGCGUUCUUGCACCUGGACUGUUGCCCCAGGCUCAUACAUGUGCUUCCCUUGUCUGAGCAUAUGGACACCCUGCCUAGCCUGCAGACGCUGGAGAUCGUGUACUGUGGUGAUCUGAAGGAAGUCUUCCCUUUGGACCCUAAGCGCCAACAGAAGCAGGAAAUUAUAAGAUUUCCCAACCUAAGAAGGAUCCACCUGUACCAGCUCUACACUCUACAGAGCAUCUGUGGGAGCAAGAUGUCAGCGCCCAACCUUGAGACCAUCAGAAUCAGGGGUUGCUGGGGCCUUACACGCUUGCCAUCUGUCAGUAGCAGCACCACCAAGCGGCCCAAGGUGGACUGCGAGAAGGACUGGUGGGACAACCUAAAGUGGGACGGUCUAGAGGCGAACCACGACCCUUUGCUCUAUGAACCACGCCACUCGCGAUAUUACAAGGCCCACCUGCCAAGAUGCACCGUCCUCAGGUAA
rnacentral:rRNA from 1 species